rnacentral:sRNA from 1 species
AAAUAAACAAGGAGGGACAAAAACAAGCUGUGUGUUGAAACCUUAAAGGGUUCAAGCUGGCCACACCUUCUAAGUCAGAUGGACUCCCAGUACCUGGUGAGGGAUCAAACUGAUCCAAGUUUGGGGUUUUUGGAGCAAAGCUCAAGAACAAGGUACAGCUUAGACACCUGAAACGACCCAUCCAACCCUCAUUACUCUCAAUAAGGAAAAAGUAAAGAAAGGUACCAUGGUAAGCCCAACACUGCUAUUCUCCUCUGGGAUCCCUAAACAUCUGCAAUACCCAAGACUCACUUUCCUUUUCUAGAAAACAAGAAGAAAUGUUGAGUGUGGCUGCAUGUGGAAGGUUAUCGUGAAGCAUACAUGCAAUCAUGUUAUGACAGAUUGCAAAAUUCUAAAGAACUACAUACAGGUGUCUGUGGCUCACCUAAAGCAUCCCCACAUGGAGCCAGUCCUCAUAGAUAGACUCCUGCCUCUCACUGACAUAGUCCUCCUACUGCUCUGAGGUGCUGGAGACCCUUCCUCUACUGCAGGAAGCUGUGGCCACUUCACUGCCACACAGAAGUCACAGUGGUCCACAAAGGAGUGGGUGAGCACACAUUUAUAACCAGGGAAGAUGAGCAGGCAGUCUUUCAUCAUUGCGAGAUACGCUCUGGAGGCAGAGCUAAGGAUAGGGAGAUGAGGCCUGCACAGAAAAGAACAAUGUCAAGGUCCCCACGGGAGCAAGCCCAGGCAAAGGGAAUUUCCCAAAGGAAGUGAAUCACACAGGGAGGGUCUCUUUGAUAUGCCACAAGGCAGUGCCACAUGAGUUUUGAUUACAGCAAUACCAAGCUUAUAAAGAAAUGGACUAUCUAGUAUUCUCCAUCAAUCCCCUCUCCUCACCUUUCCUCCCUGACUCAGCACUGUGGACAUGUGGGUGGAAUUUUCAAGGCCGUGCCAAAUGCUGUGAUGCUUCCUGAUUCUUUGAGGUUCCAUCCACGUUUGCCCUGUUGUGUCAUCAGAGAGAUUGCAAUCUUGAAGAGACCAUUGUGAUCCAGUGUUUCUUGUCACCCAACAUUCAGAAAACACUCUAAUGGAGGAAUCCCACCUUGCUUGCCUCCUUAUACUUAAGACCUAUGUCCUUUCAACUCAUUGUGCUGGAGGUUCAUUGAGAGGAGAGACCUGGUUUCCAUAGGUUGUCAUAGCAACUGACAUACCUCAACAUCUGAAUCGGCUCACAAAAGGCACUCUGCAGAGGGUUUGUCAGUAUCUGGGAUACCAGGUCACAUCUGCAUUUCCUAUUUUUCAUUUGUAGAAUUCAGUGGUUAAAUGAGAUGAUCUCUGAAUCGCUUUCCAUCUCUAACUGGAAGCCUUAGACAAACUCAAUGAAUACCUUAACUUUGCAAACAGAAAUAGUGGGAUCCCUUUAAGAAAGUGAAUGGGACCAACGGAGGUGUGGGGCUUAAAAAUGGGUGAGUGUGAGAGAUGAAUUCAGUCAUCCCUCAUGGAGUGACAGUACUGGGCAAAAUAGAGUCCUCACCAGCAUGGUAAGGAGCAGGCCGUGAAGUUCAGUGGGAAGAGCUUCAACAAGCCUGGGAGCCCAGACAUAUGCUUCUGUACCAAGCUUGCCUUUGUGUGCCCAGCUUCACCGAGCCUCCUGUUACUGUGAUUUGAAAUCAAAGCACCAAGGUCAUGAGCAAUCAAGAGUCUUACUGCCUCCCUCUGCAGGCAGCCAUUUCUGUCUGGGUGAGUUCUAUUUACCAGAAAUGUUUCAAAAGCAUGCUAAUAGCAUCCUUAAUUACACAGGCCUCAGUGCUCUUGCUGGAUAGCUGAUCAGCUAUUUGGGACCUGGUUACUGUACAGUAGGUAAUUCCCUGGAGAAUUACUGUCCCCACAAGUCUCUGGUGUACUGCAGAGAAAGCUGUCUCUACAUCCAGCCCUCAGCCUCUAGGUUCACACACCGAGCUCACAUGAAUCACUCAGAAAGCACAUAGUAACUUACUGCUUAAAAAUAAUGUCGAUUUUUGGGGAUUUUUCCCUAUUCUUUAAUCAAGGGAGUGUUACUCACUAUUUAAUUUAUGAGGCAGUUCCAUACAAAUGAUUGGGAUUAAGUACUGGCUUGAUUGAAGUCUUGGUUUUGGCUCCCUCAGAGGUGAUGCAACCCAAAUCCAGUUAUUUUCCCUUUCCAAGUUUGUCCUGGUACAAAAAAAUUAAUAAUAUUUACUUUAUGAACUAUUGAGAGAAUUAAGCUGAGAAUUCAAAUUAGGUGGCUUGUCCCAUGAGAAAUACCAUUAAGUCAUUAAGAAGACAUAUUUUCUCCACAGUUCAGCCUUAUCCACAGUAAGUCCUUUCUGGUACCAUUGACCAUCUCAUUGGUCUCAGUUCUGUCUUCAGAGACCAUGCAAAGUAGGCCAAAAUCCUCUUUCCACUUGGCCGUCUUUCAAGUAUUUCCAUUUGACCACAAGCUCCAUACAUGGCAAAGAACCUUACCAGAGAAAUUGAGGUGGGAAAAAAAAGUGUAUUCAGGGUUUCACCACAAUCUGGAGGGAGAACCAAGGAAUUCUGACUUCUGCCCUGGAGUGACUGACCACUUCACAACCUGACCUCCAAGAACAGAGGGGCCAGCCAGAGCUCUUGGAAGAUGGCAUUGUGGUAGCGCAUGGCACUGGAGUGCUGACACAUAGCUCUUUGAUGUGGCUUAGCUCAUGAUGUUGCUGUAUUUCCCUAAGUUAGGAGAUAAGCAUGCCACUAGAACCACUUCAGUGAGGAGUAUAGCGCACUGCCCCAAAGGCUUUUAGGAAUUUUCCCACAGAAGUAUUGCAGCCAAUUGUGCAAACUUGAAGAUGUUUUCAUGCAAAUCUAUUUUGCAAAUACACACAGUCUUUUUUCCUGAAUUGUUUUUAUGACCCCACAUCACUAUACUAUUGAAAUUCUUAAAUAACCGGUUCAUUCUUUCAGGUAGAAGCAAUUUCAGAAGCAAGAAAGGAUUUGACUCAAUAAGCAGAGACUUGGACAAACUGUUUGAUGUGUUAAAUAGGCACUGUAAGAAACUAUUUGCUACCUUUCUGCCUGCUUGGGAUUCGAGCACUCUGUGAUCCCUUGUUUAGAAGUGCAACUGGCAGACAAUUGGAAAAUCCCUUUCUCUUUAUGUGGUCCUGUAACUUGUUCCUCGGGGAACCUUCUUAGCUCUAGAUGGUGUUGAAGCUUGAGCUCCUAUCAGGAGUCAAUAGCUUAUUGGGGGCAUCAUGACAAGAUUCUAUCACUAGGAUACUGAGUAGGCUCCAAAUUUUUCAAGGUUACUUUGAAACCAAGACGUACUUUCUGCUUCUGGUGAGGAUUUCAUUAAACGGUGCACUGGAGGCUGCUGUUCACUGUUGUGUCUUGGUCACAAUUUCAGGGAUUUAUUAUGGUAUUUCCUGCGUGAGACUGGAAAAACCUCCCCUCCAUGACUAACAGCCUGUUGAAGGCAACAUGGAAAUGUAAUUGCUCCGUUCUCCAAAUUGCCUUUUCUUACAACAAAGAGCAGUUUUUGAAUCCUGUCCUUAACUAGAUGAGGAGAAGAAAUAGACCCUCAUCAAACAAGGAAGCCAAAGAUAUGAAGACAGGGUGAUGCUGAGGCCCAGGACCUGUCACAGAUUUGUUCUGCUCUGAACCUUGGUCACAGGAGCUUCUAAUUGCAGCAUCAGUACAGAGACUCAUCACCGUGCAGAAGAAGCGCAAAGGAUGUCAGAGAGAGAGGGUAGAGAGGAGUGCUGUGAAAUGUAUAUGGCCGCGGCACAUGUGAACUCCGAGCAGCUGUGCUCACCUGUUAAGACCAGCAUAAGAGUAAUCCAGUUGAGAAAUUCCAGCAUAAAGGGCAGAUUUACUCUGGAGACUCCGGGAGUAACUGGCAGCUAUUGGGAGUGAGAGUCACUUUUUUCUGUGUUGUAUUCAUUGGUUGGUUCCCAGAGCCCAAGUAAAUGGCCCUACACCUAUAUGGGUAGCAUUAUUUGACUCUGUGUAAAAGAAAUGUCCUUGGUUUUUAACAGAGAGUAUAAAGUUGGGAGGGGGAUCUGAUGGUGAGAUUCUGAAGGGACUUGAAAGGGGAGUGAAGGGUGGCUAUGAUCAAGGCACAUUGUAUGUAUACAUGUGUAAAUGUUAAUAAACCCAAGGGGGAUAACAAUGAUAUUCAAGUUCUCAGCAACAAGUGAGGAUAUAAGAAGACCAUGCAGAUAUGUUUUCACAUUUGUGAAGACACAGAAUUUGGUAUCCAGUCAAACAUUUGUUCAGAUGGAAAGGCGUGUUAAAAUACUCCAAAGCAUGCAAUCUCGAAAGCUGGACACACAACUAUCUGCAGGGCAUUUUCCAUAAAAUAAAUGAGAGGAUGUCACAUAAAGUGACCAAAUA